AUUGAACGCUGGCGGCAGGCCUAACACAUGCAAGUCGAGCGGAUGAAGGGAGCUUGCUCCUGGAUUCAGCGGCGGACGGGUGAGUAAUGCCUAGGAAUCUGCCUGGUAGUGGGGGAUAACGUCCGGAAACGGGCGCUAAUACCGCAUACGUCCUGAGGGAGAAAGUGGGGGAUCUUCGGACCUCACGCUAUCAGAUGAGCCUAGGUCGGAUUAGCUAGUUGGUGGGGUAAAGGCCUACCAAGGCGACGAUCCGUAACUGGUCUGAGAGGAUGAUCAGUCACACUGGAACUGAGACACGGUCCAGACUCCUACGGGAGGCAGCAGUGGGGAAUAUUGGACAAUGGGCGAAAGCCUGAUCCAGCCAUGCCGCGUGUGUGAAGCAGGUCUUCGGAUUGUAAAGCACUUUAAGUUGGGAGGAAGGGCAGUAAGUUAAUACCUUGCUGUUUUGACGGUACCAACAGAAUAAGCACCGGCUAACUUCGUG
rnacentral:rRNA from 1 species